AAACUCAGAUCAAUCUAUAAAGCUAUUGGUAGAUAGCUAUCUAUUUAGAUUAAAAGAAAACCUCUAAAAGAGAGAUAUUGAGGAAAGAUCAGUUCACAACCAUGAAGAGAGUAAUAUUUGCAGGGCUUUUGUUAAUAAUUAUUUUCUCCCUCUCUCUUUCAUGUUAUGCUUUUGAAGGCUCUUUUACACCACAAUACAAGCCAUUAGCAAGGGGAAACCAUUUGAUGCAUGCGCAUAAGGAAGUUGAUAUAGGAAGUUUCCAAAGACAUGGCGGAAAGGGAACUUAUGCCGGUGAAGAUACUCUUCGUCCCCGCGGCAAAGGCCACAGGAGUGGAGCUGCAAGCUUCUUUAUACUGAAAUCUUCUUCUUUCAUCUCAACACUACUAUUACUUAGAUAUGUUAUAGUCUUUGUUUUUAUAUAUGUUGUCUUGGUUUGAAUGCUCAUGAAGCGGUAGUUAUGUGACAACAUCAAGCAGGAUUUGAGGAUUAUUAACAACUGAUGUUAACAUUAUUUAUUGUAUACAAAGAUUAAUUAAUUAGAGGUACAUGAGAUUUCUAGAACA